rnacentral:lncRNA from 1 species
GAUGAGAUUUUAAGCAGCCUGGUGCGUUCAGAAAUUUUGUUGAACGUCAGUGCUUUGACGAUGUGAUCUGGGUGUGUUGGCCUGGGCAAAUCGCUGGGCAAAUUGCUGGGCAUAUCACUGAGUGUGUCUGUGGGCACAUCGCUAGGCACAUCACUUGGUAAGUCCAUGGGCGCAUCGGUGGGCACAUCGCUGGGCAUAGCGCUGGUGAAAUCAGUAGGCGCAUCAGUGGGCACAUCCGUGGGCUCAUCAGUGGUGGGAGCAGUGGGCAAAUCGCUUGGCACAUCGCUGGCCAUAGCACUUGGCAAGUCUGUGGGCGCAUCACUGGGCACAGCGCUGGUGGAAUCAGUGGGCAUACCACUUUCUUUGAGUCCUGCG